CCUACGGGAGGCAGCAGUGGGGAAUAUUGGACAAUGGGGGGAACCCUGAUCCAGCGACGCCGCGUGAGGGAAGAAGUAUUUCGGUAUGUAAAGCUCUAUCAGCAGGGAAGAAAGAAAUGACGGUACCUGACUAAGAAGCCCCGGCUAACUACGUGCCAGAAGCCGCGGUAAUACGUAGGGGGCAAGCGUUAUCCGGAUUUACUGGGUGUAAAGGGAGCGUAGACGGCGAUGCAAGUCUGAAGUGAAAGGCGGGGGCCCAACCUCCGGACUGCUUUUGAAACUGUAUGGCUGGAGUGCAGGGGAGGUAAGUGGAAUUCGUAGUGUAGCGGUGAAAUGCGUAGAUAUUAGGAGGAACACCAGUGGCGAAGGCGGCUUACUGGACUGUAACUGACGUUGAGGCUCGAAAGCGUGGGGAGCAAACAGGAUUAGAUACCCGGGUAGUC
rnacentral:rRNA from 1 species